UUAGUCGGUCUCGGAGCAAACGAAGUGAAGCAUGUUAUUUAAUACGAUAAUACACGUAAAACCUUACCAGACCUUGCAUAUCUAGCUUUAUUUUAAUUUUUUAUUAAAUUAGAGUGAGUAUAUUUUUAAUAAUUACCUUUAUGGUUCCCAUUCUCCUACCUCUCCGUCUUUCUUGUCCCUGUCUUAAAAGAUAGAAGGACAGGAGCCAAAGGAGGACAGGCUGGAUAGAAAUUGGAAUUAUGCAGGAGGAAAAUAAUAGCGUAGAUACAGGUGUUGCAUGGCUGUCGUCA
rnacentral:rRNA from 1 species